CCGCUAUUGGAGUUCGAUUAAGCCAUGCGAGUCGAGAGUCCUCGGGACUCGGCGUACCGCUCAGUAACACGUGGGUAACCUGCCCUAUGCUGGGGAAUAACCUCGGGAAACUGAGAAUAAUGCCCCAUAGCCCACUACGCCUGGAACGGUGAGUGGGUCAAAGCUCCGGCGGCAUAGGAUGGGCCUGCGCCGUAUCAGGUUGUAGGGGGUGUAAAGUACCCUCUAGCCAUCAACGCGUACGGGUGUUGGGAGACAUUGCCCGGAGAUGGAUUCUGAGACACGAAUCCAGACCCUACGGGGUGCAGCAGGCGCGAAAACUUGGCAAUGCGAGCAAUCGUGACCAGGGAACUCCAAGUGCGUAGGGUAAGACCUACGCUUUUCUUGACUCUUCAAAGGUCUUGGAAUAAGGGGUGGGUAAGGACGGUGCCAGCCGCCGCGGUAAUACCGGCGCCUCAAGUGGUAGUCGCUUUUAUUGGGCCUAAAACGUCCGUAGCCGGUCUGGUGCAUUCGUGGGUAAAUCAACCCGCUCAACGGGUUGAAUUCUGCGAGCACGGCCAGACUUGGGACCGGGAGAGGUGUGGGGUACUCUCAGGGUAGGGGUAAAAUCCUGUCAUCCUGAGAGGACCACCUGUUGCGAAGGCGCCACACUAGAACGGAUCCGACGGUCAGGGACGAAACCUAGGGGCACGAACCGGAUUAGAUACCCGGGUAGUCCUAGGUGUAAACGCUGUGGACUUGAUGUUGGGGGCGCUCCGAGCGCUCUCAGUGUCGAAGCGAAGGUGAUAAGUCCACUGCCUGGGGAGUACGGUCGCAAGGCUGAAACUUAAAGGGAUUGGCGGGGGAGCACUGCAACCUGAGGAUUGUGCGG
rnacentral:rRNA from 1 species